AACGAACGCUGGCGGCACGCCUAACACAUGCAAGUCGAACGAAGCCUUCGGGCUUAGUGGCGCACGGGUGCGUAACGCGUGGGAAUUUGCCCUUUGGUUCGGAAUAACAGUUGGAAACGACUGCUAAUACCGGAUGAUGACGAAAGUCCAAAGAUUUAUCGCCAGAGGAUGAGCCCGCGUAGGAUUAGCUAGUUGGUGUGGUAAAGGCGCACCAAGGCGACGAUCCUUAGCUGGUCUGAGAGGAUGAUCAGCCACACUGGGACUGAGACACGGCCCAGACUCCUACGGGAGGCAGCAGUGGGGAAUAUUGGACAAUGGGCGAAAGCCUGAUCCAGCAAUGCCGCGUGAGUGAUGAAGGCCCUAGGGUUGUAAAGCUCUUUUACCCGGGAUGAUAAUGACAGUACCGGGAGAAUAAGCCCCGGCUAACUCCGUGCCAGCCGCCGCAGUAA
rnacentral:rRNA from 1 species